CCUACGCCCGUUCACCGCCGACAAGGUGAGCCGUGGAUCAGAAUCAGCGGGCCCGUCUGAUCCGUCGGGAAGUUCGCUUUCCGUUCGGCGGGUUGGGUACUGGCGGAAAUUGAAUGCAGGGUCCAGUAUCUUCUCUGCCUAGAGCGGUGCUCAUUUGGAAGCUCGGGCCUGCAGCGUAGAGAAGAGGAGCGGUGGCGGCGAGGCACCAUGGAUUUCCUGAUGCAGCCAAUCGACGGAUCCACUCUCCUUGCAGAAGUAGGCGAGAGCUUGGUGCCGGUCCCUGUGCCGCAAGCGCCGUCGGGAGGCGCUAUGGUGGAGGAGUAGGAGGUGGCGGAGCAGCAACGGGCGGUGGACAGCGCAGACGCUCAGAUUUUCGCGGCCAAGGAGGCGGCGGCGGAUAGGAGGGAGAGCUCGCCUCCGACGUCGGAGCUGUCAGUUGGGAAGAUGAAUCCGCGGGUGGUGACUGCGUGGAACAAGAGGCUGAGGAUAGGCAGGUGCUGCCGCACCGAGCAGACCACCCUGCCCAACUCGCGGUAAAGUUGGUGUUAAGAACACAAGGUCUUGCCGUUGCAAAUGUCAGACGCUGGGUGGUACAUCACAGAGCAUUGGGAGAGCCACAACCAUUCCCUUUCACCAAACUUUGGCGAGAUGGUGCAUUGGCCAUGGCACAAGCAUAUAUAUCUGAUAAAGCAGUUGCGGCAAAACAAUGCCAACCUUGCGAAGUUGUAUGGUAUCAUAGGGAACUUCUUUGGAUCAAUGGAGAAUGUGCCAUUCACCAAAAGGUCUUUGCGCAAUCUCCGUGGGAAGAUAAAUACGGAGCAGGUCGAUGAUGAUGGAGGUGUUUGCUGAAAUUGGGGCCAAGGAUCCGCAUUUCACAUACAAAAUUCAGGCUGACAAUGAGGGCGGGAUUAACAACCUGAUGUGGGCAAGUGGAAACAGCAGGCUGCAGUACACAUUUUUCAGGGAUGUGAUAACAUUUGACACCAUGUACUGGACUAAUUUGUACGAAAUGUUGUUCAGCCUAUUGUUGGUGUUAAUAGUCAUUUCCAGAGUACCAUCCUGGCAGAGGUGCUUGUUUGUGAUGAGACAACUGAGAGUUCUGAAUGUUUUCUCAGAAUUUCUUAGAGUGAUGGGCGGCGCUCCUCUGAUGACUAUACUUACUGGUAAGUUCUUGCUUUCCUGGUGUGCUUUGCAGACCCUAUUCAGGCUAUGGAGCUGGCUAUCAAAGAGCAUUAUGCCAGACACCACAUGCUGGCGGUGCAAGUAUCACAUGCUCAAGAACGCAAAGUAAACGUUGGGCCCUCUGUACACCAAGAAGAGUGAAUUCAAGCAGAGUCCCAUGAGGUGGUGAACUACAUGCUCACGGUAGAUGGGUUUGAGAAUGGGUGGGUGAUGCUGCUGGAUGAAUACAAGCUAUGGAGACGCCCGUACAUGACUCAACUUCUCGAGAUCAGAAAGAAAUGGACAAAGCCGUAUUUCGAAGGUGUUUUAUGUGCAACGAUGAGCGCAUAAAGGAGUGAUGGUGUCUAAUGGAUAUGUUUGUGCAGAAGUAUAUGAUGCUUCUGUUCGACAGACUCGGGCGAGAACUAUUGAGGAGAAGAGAACAAGAAUUUGUUAUUUCAGUUUGGAAAAUUUGGUUACAACUGGUUCCUGAUUUAGGGGAGAUCUUUGAUGAGGGUGCUUCGACAGGUGGAGUUGUUGGGAGAAAUGUGGCUGCCGGAAACAGUAAUCGUCGCUGGCAGGCAAAAAUUGUAGGACGGAGGUAUGUUGGUGGUGCCUCCGAGACAGGGAACAUGGGUUCUACUAAAGCGGUCUUGGAGACGGUAGGGGAAUAAGAAGUCAGAAAGAGGCAACAAAAGGCGGAGGAGAGUGAGGUUCUCGAACAUUGUUGAAACGAUUUGUCGAUCGGAAACCUCAGAAACCGAAGACACUUCAAGUGAUAAUCACAGCAUGGCAAGUGAGGAUGAUGACCUUCGUGCGCGUCGUGCAGGAAGUGACAAGGAGCAAGGUUAUAAACUUAUAAUACAGUGGUGGCACUGGAAAGGGUGGCGACAGAGUCCAAAAGGGUGGAGGUGUUGCUGCUGCACUUGGUUCUGGAAUUGGCAUGGAAGGAGGGGCAGCUGAUGCUGGAACUAAUUCUUGUGGGAGGAUCCAGCGUCAUGACUGUGAGCUUGGAUACACAUUCAGGGGUUCUUUAGGUUAGUGGAAUUGUUGAAUGUUUGAGAGUAGUAUAUAGUGCCUAUCAGGGCGGAUGUACGGAUAACUUGUGUCGACCACAAUGUCAGAGGUUGGAGGUAGCUCAAGCCAAGGAGGAUGUGGUGGCAAUGCAAAUGUUGAAGGUGCAUAAAAUUUCCGGAAUGAAUAAUUCGGGAGGGAAAGGGUUGCCAUAAAAUUUUCAUUGCCAAGACAGUGUUGCAUGUAAGCUGCCGUGGCAAAACUUUUGGAUUGCUGCUGCAGUGAUUGAGCGACACUGCCAUGGCCGAGUUUUUGCCGACGUAGUCGAUGCUCAAACAGUAGACAUGUGCGGGAUGGACAUGAAACAAAAUUGCCACAUCAAGGGGGUGUUUUUUGAUUGACCUGCAGAUUAUUGCUUAAAAUUAUUACAUGGAAAAUACAUUCUGUAUAUUGGAGAUUGUGGGUGGUGCUGCUUAAUUACUUGUUACUUAA